CGUGGGCGGGGCCUCGGGCGCUCCGAUUGGAGGCAGGGCUUGCUUGUCUGCAAGCGUUGGAGGUCAGCGGCAGUCCCCGGGGCCUCGGUGUUCGGUCCCCGGGUCCUCCAAGUUCCAUUCCCAGGCGGGUCCGGGCUCAGGGGCCCGAGCAGACUCGCUGUGUCCUCCGGUCGCUGUGCUGAAGCCGCGACGCACGUAGAGCCGGAGUGUGACGGGGCGGCCCCGGUCACCCAGUCCCGGGCGUGGAGCGUGCGUCGGACGCAGGUCGGGGGCGUGGUCUCCGCCGGGGCCCCUGGUCAAGGACCGGGAACGAGGGAAGGGCUUUGGGCCCCAGGCUGGGGUUCGAAUGUGGACUCCGCCCCAUCACGUCUAGCGUACCGCUCAGCAUUUCUCAGGGCCUGGGUGCCAUCCCGGUGAAAGGGGCCCUGGCAGGCCCACUAGGGUCUGCUGCGCGGCCCGCUCAGCCCCUGCCCUGGGUAGCAGGUGUGGCGGAGGAAGGGCAAGAUGGGAGGCAUCUCAGAGCGCUGUGGGGCCCGGAAGCCCAGAGUCCGGUUAUUUUUAACCACCCGCGCCCCCUCCCCCUUCGGGGAGUUGGAAGGCUUCUGUCUGGGGCCUGUGCGACCCCGCCAAGGAUUGCUCCGAGUCCACUUUAGAUAGGAGGUAUUUAAAGCGCUUUACAGUUUGUGAGUUGAUUCUUGGUUCCUCUGGAAACGGGUGACAAUAUUGAUCACCGAUAAGGAGACUAAAAAUGGCUUCAGGGCCUUGGUGGGUCAUCACCCUAGCCUUUGACCAACCCAGGCCCCAGAGCCCUCUUGUCCUAUUUUUAGUCUGGCCAAAUUGGGGGAGGUGUUGGGGCUGACUCUCGCAGUGAUUCAGGCUUUAGCUGCUCUAGGCAUCUGGUCACCUGGCAACUGAGCCGUGGGCACCCACAGCUGAGCAGGGAGGGCAGAAGUCCUUGGUGCCCAAGAUGGCUCUGGGCCCAUGGUCAUCUGCUCAGGCAUCUGCACAGAAGACAGUUCUGCCUGGUCAGGUACUGCCUGGCGGACAGACCAUGGCAGAGUUCUCCCAGAAACGGGGGAGGCAGCGUGACGAGGUCCUGGGCAGCACUGUGGACUUCCUCCUGGCCAAUGCCCGCCUGGUGCUGGGUGUUGGUGGGGCCGCUGUGCUGGGAAUUGCUACCUUGGCUGUGAAGCGGCUCAUCGACAGGGCCACCAGCCCUCGAGACGAGGAUGAUGCCAAAGGGGACACCACAUGCCUGGAGGAGAGCUGGAAGGAACUGACCCUACUCAAGACCACGCCACGCCUGCAGCCCCGGACCCCACCUGCUGCCCUCAGCCAGCCAGCAUCGCUCCCCGCCCCCUUGCCAUCUGCCCCUGCUGUUUUAGGGUGCGGGGGAUCUGAGGCAGUGAGAAUUUGUCACCACGUGCUCCCUGUGCGUGAGGACUUGAGCUUAAGUGCCCUCUCAGGUGACUGUUUCACAGAGGGGCCCUCAGACACCGAGCCUCAGCCGUUGCCUCAGCCGAGCUCCCCAGCACCGCUGUGCCUGACGUUUCAGGAGAAGCUGCUGGUGUUCGAGCGGGACCACGUGACCAUCCCAGAGGCCCACGUGGCUCUGGCCAAGCAGCUGGCCGGUGACAUCGCCCUUGAGCUGCAGGCCUACUUGCGGAACAAAUUCCCAGAACUGCCCUUCGGGGCCCUUGUGCCCGGCGGGCCGCUCUAUGACGGGCUCCAGGGGGGGGCCGCCAGCCGCGUGCGCCUCCUGGUUCCCCUGGUGCUGGAGGUGGGCCUGUGGGGCCUGGUGCCCGGCGUGGACACCGUGGCCAGGGACCCUCGCUGCUGGGCCGUGCGCAGGACUCAGCUUGAGUUCCAUCCCCGUGGGAGCAGCCCCUGGGACCGCUUCCUGGUGGGCGGCUACCUCUCCUCCCGGGUCCUGCUGGAGCUGCUCCGCAAGGCCCUGGCCUCCUCCGUCAACUGGCCGGCCAUCGGCGGCCUCCUCGGGUGCCUGAUCCGGCCCAGCGUGGCCUCGGAGGAGCUGCUGCUCGACGUGCAGCACGAGCGCCUCGAGCUCACCGUCGCCGUGCUCCUGGCGGUCACCGGUGCCGACGCCGAAGACCGCCUCCUUCUGGCCUGGCCCCUGGAGGGGCUGGCCGGGAACCUCUGGCUGCAGGACCUGUACCCUGCAGAGGCCGCCAGGCUGCGGGCCCUGGACGAGCGUGAUGCCGGGACCCGCCGACGGCUGCUGCGGCUGCUGUGCGGGGUCUGCCGCGGCCACCCCGCCCUGGGGCGGCUGGACCGCUGCCAUCUGACCCAGGUGGUUCUGCGCCUGGGGGAGGAGGAGGUGGACUGGGCCGAGGCGGCCCUGGGGGAGCGCUUCCUGCAGGCCCUGGAGUCGCUCAUCGACAGCCUGGAGCGGGCCAGCCUGCCCUGCCACUUCAACCCCGGCGUGAACCUCUUGAGCGGCCUGCGCGAGGAGGAGAUUGACGACAUCGGCUUCGCGCUCUACAGCGGCCUGCAGGCCCCCGAGUGUCUGCUCUAGAUGGGUGGGGACAGGGCGGCCGGCACUCGUGCUGAUGCUGGUGAGCUGUGUGCGCCUCCCCUCCAGGAAUUUGGAGAGCACUUUUUCUCUUGCUUUAGCCAGAAUAGAGGAGGGUGCUCUAAGUCCGCGGGGUUAGCAUGUCCCGGGCAGCAGUCCCGGGAGCCCCAAGCCCGGGCCUCUGGGGCAGCCGGCCUCUCCCGCCCCUCGGGCCGACCCUAGGACCUUGGGCUCGGUCCGUCGUCACCAGCAGUGAACGCACUGACAGAACACGGCUUCUGCUGUCCUAGGCAGGGGAUAAAGGCAGCUCCGUUUUUCUGUCGAGAGGGGGCCGGAGUCACCUGGUACCCCCGGAUUGCAGCUUUGGGGCUGAUUUAAAGGCUGCGUCUCCCGAUGUCACCUGCGUGUCUAGUUGGCUUGUCGAGCUCUCCCCUCUAGCCUGGAACAGGAGCUCGGUCUGGCGUGCUGCCCACCUCGUACCUCAGGGGAAGGCCCCUCUCCCUCCAACCGGGCCAUUUUUCUCUUUGGGCAGAGAGGCCCCUGGGAGAGCCCCCUUCCGCUGCUGGGGGAGCCAAGGUUCCCUGUGCUGCCCACCUUGCCUAGAGGCAGGGCUGUCCGACUAGCUGCUGCUGGGUCCUGCCGGAGAGCGGAGGCCGCGCCUUCCCGGGGAAGCCGGCUGAGCGGGCCUGACCUCCACAGUGCCGACCUGAACUGCUCCCCGCUGACGCCUGUGUCCUCACUGAAGCCUGGCAGAGGUGGGGAGGGAGGGCCGCCCCACCUCCCAGGCAUCCCUCCCGUCUUUGGUAUCCUUCUUGCUGAAGCAAAGCUAUGCCUCAAAGAAUGUGAAUGAGAAUAAAAGGAAAAAUUCAAACAUC